rfam:Halobacillus karajensis, HD-03, WGS project CCDI01000000 data, contig: 000002
GAGAGCCGGAUACAUGGAGACGUGUAAGUCCGGUUCGGAGAGGAGCAUCAGGAAACCUAUCGCAGCAAUGUGAUAAGGCGCUGGAUGCUUACUCUAC